AAAAUUUUAAUGGUCGAACAGACCAAACAUUUUUAACUUCUACACCAAAAAUUAAUUUUAAUCCAACAUCGAGGUCGCAAUCUUUUCUUUCGAUUUGAACUCUAAAAAAAAAUUACGCUGUUAUCCCUAAGGUAAUUUUAUCUUAUAAUCAUAAAUAAUGGAUCAAAAAUUCAUAAAUUAAUGUUUUUAUAAAAAAAAAGUUUCUUAAAUUUUUUAAUCACCCCAACUAAAUAUAAAUUAACCCAUAAAAAUUAAAAUUCUAAAAAAUUCAUUUAUUAUAUUAUAUUAAACUCUAUAGGGUCUUCUCGUCUUUUAAAAAAAUUUAAGCUUUUUAACUUAAAAAUAAAAUUUUUAUAUAAAUUAAACAGAGACAGAAUUUUUCUCAUUCAACCUUUCAUUCCAGCUUUUAAUUAAAAAACUAAUGAUUAUGCUACCUUUGCACAGUCAAAAUACUGCGGCCAUUUAAAUUUUCAGGGGGCAGGUUAGACCUUAAAUUAUAAACAAAAAGCC
rnacentral:rRNA from 1 species